GACGAACGCUGGCGGCGUGCUUAACACAUGCAAGUCGAACGGGCCUUGUCCCCUUUUUUUUGGGGGUGGGGUUAGUGGCGAACGGGUGAGUAACACGUGAGUAACCUGCCCCUCACUUCUGGAUAACCGCUUGAAAGGGUGGCUAAUACGGGGUGUUCUGGCCUGCUCGCAUGGGUGGGUUUGGAAAGAUUCGACCGGUUUUGGUUGUGUUGGUGGGGGAUGGGCUCGCGGCCUAUCAGCUUGUUGGUGGGGUGAUGGCCUGCCAAGGCUUUGACGGGUAGCCGGCCUGAGAGGGUGGGCGGUCACACUGGGACUGAGACACGGCCCAGACUCCUACGGGAGGCAGCAGUGGGGAAUAUUGCACAAUGGGCGCAAGCCUGAUGCAGCGACGCCGCGUGAGGGAUGGAGGCCUUCGGGUUGUGAACCUCUUUCGCCAGUGAAGAAGGUCCUGCUCUUUGUGGUGGGGUUGACGGUAGCUGGGUUAAUGAAGCGCCGGCUAACUACGUG
rnacentral:rRNA from 1 species